rnacentral:rRNA from 1 species
AUUGAACGCUAGCGGGAUGCUUUACACAUGCAAGUCGAACGGCAGCGCGGACUUCGGUCUGGCGGCGAGUGGCGAACGGGUGAGUAAUGUAUCGGAACGUGCCCAGUAGCGGGGGAUAACUACGCGAAAGCGUAGCUAAUACCGCAUACGCCCUACGGGGGAAAGCGGGGGAUCGUAAGACCUUGCACUAUUGCAGCGGCCGAUAUCGGAUUAGCUAGUUGGUGAGGUAACGGCUCACCAAGGCGACGAUCCGUAGCUGGUUUGAGAGGACGACCAGCCACACUGGGACUGAGACACGGCCCAGACUCCUACGGGAGGCAGCAGUGGGGAAUUUUGGACAAUGGGGGCAACCCUGAUCCAGCCAUCCCGCGUGUGCGAUGAAGGCCUUCGGGUUGUAAAGCACUUUUGGCAGGAAAGAAACGUCGCGGGCUAAUACCCCGUGGAACUGACGGUACCUGCAGAAUAAGCACCGGCUAACUACGUG